UCUCUUCUCUUCUCUUCUCUUCUCUUUUCUUUUCUUUUCUUUUUUUUGUCAUUUCAUUGCUAUUGCUGGGUUUGAGUUGAAUAAUUGGAAUUUCAAACGAUGCCAAAGGCUUUGGGAUAUUAACGGGCACUUCCAGAGGAUGCCACAGGCUGCUCCCCCGUGCAUGAACAUCACCAGGUCUCAAGAGGACAUAAACACCAAACCCUCCCGGUGCCAGGAGAAAAUCAGGGGGUUGCCAAAGAGGGAAGUCAGCAGGAUUGAGCUAAAGCAAAUUAAUCGAAUCCCGGAGACCGCAACAGGCAGGAGGAUGGAGAAGAGACGGCUCCUGCACACUGAUGCUACACUAAGGAGUAGGCAGUGAGUCCUCGAGGGUGGGAGCAAAGAGAUUUUUCCCUCUGGAAGUGCCGAGGUCAGGGAGGGGAGAGGAAGGCUGUGCAGGGAAGGUGUCAUUUGCUUUCGGUGUUAACGGACGCACGCUGCCAGGAGCAGGCAAGCGGGCUCGUAGCAGUGCGGGAUCUGCUCCAAGAGCCACUGAAGCGAAGGAAAACAUAUCCCACAGGCUGCAGAAAGAGGGUAAACCAGCUUCCAGCCAGGAAUUGCACGUUCUGGUUGCUUGAAUGGGGUCAGCAAGCCAGGAGGGGAAAGAUUCCAGGAUUAAAGUGAGGGGCCAGACCCCAGUGACGGAUGGGAGAUGUAGCUGGGUGUCUUCUGGGUGGAUGGGAAACUACGAUUUCUGUUUAAACAGACGAGGAGGGCGUUCGGGGGAUGGCACAGCCUCCAGCCGCAUCCGUCGUGCUGCAGACAGGACCCCCUUCCUUGUUGGCAGCGAGCCCCGAGAGCGAUGCGGGACCGCUCUGCUAAGCGUCCCCCGCUCCGGCAGCUUGCAUCCCAUUUCAACGGUGAAGGUGGAGGCUACGAGUCACCCUUCGUAAAGCUUUCUCCUCCUUUUCCCAACGGUGUUUUACACCCCUCAAAUUCCGGCCGGUUCAACCAAGGAACUCCCUAGGUCCCUACAAACGAGCGCAGGCUCACUCUCACUAGAUGCACACCGAAUUACUCGGGAUUUAUGUCAGCGUCGCUCCAUCUACAUCCAUGAAUCGAGACCACGACGUUGUAAACUUGCGUGUAAGAGCAAAUCCCCCUUACCGGGAGUCGGGAUUUCAGCAAUUCAUUGCGACGCCUCUCGCUGAGAAACUCCAACUCCGGAGCAAAAGCAAAGAGCAAUAAAGGACGAUCUGGUAGCUUAGGAAACCCAAGCGGGCGUAAAUCAGUACGUUUCCCUCCCAGAUUUACUCCAGCAAACAUUGCGGCUCUGGGAAUCGCUGGAGAACCUCUUCAGGUUAUUGAGGACUAAUAAAUUGUUAUUAAUAAAACAGCCUCUUCUGCUGGAGAGGGAAGAAAUUCCUAUCUGAGCCAGGCUGGGGAUGCUCACGCGCUCCUCUGCGUGACGUGCGGAGCGCUCCGCGUCCCAAACCUACCGGCUUCCCCCACCCGAAUGCCCCGCCAUUAAUUGGAAACCU